rnacentral:tmRNA from 1 species
GGGGACGUAAUGGUUUCGACAGGGGUGCGUGUAUCACAGAUAGCGAGUCGGCGUUCCAUUUGGCCGUUAAACGGUGGAACUUUUAAAUUAAACGCAAAAGAAAACUUUGCAUUAGCUGCAUAAGCUACGUCUUACUCUGAUCUGCCCGUGAUCGGGGAUAAGGCGUCAAACUACGGGCUCGCCUAAUAUAUUUGCUCUAGUAUAGUAGGUUAAACAACAGAGCUGGGUUAAUAUAGUUUGUCGUUGUACGAAAGUUAGCUGAGAUCUAAAACAUCGUCUGCACUCGGAGAAGUCUGUGGGGCAACGCUUCUGGACAGGAGUUCGAUUCUCCUCGUCUCCACCA